CAGGAAAGACGUGGAUUCGAGCAAUCAGCAGGUGCGCCUUCCUGUUUAUCCUGUCCCUGGAGGCUACAUAUUCACUUAAGUUUUUGUCGGGACCACAGUACUACGUAUCAUUGCCGGAAAACGCAGCCCUGGGGUUUGAGAUUACGGAGGUUAAUGCAACCGACCCCAGGAGCGGCGAAAACGGCACCACAUAUUCCUUGGAGCAGAACCCCGAUUCAGGUAGUUUUCGAAUAGAUGAACACAGUGGGCAAAUUUCGGUCGCCAAACAAUUAGAUAGAGAAGUGACGUCACGGUUCAACCUGACCGUGACGGCCGUGUGCUGGUGACGACAACACUACGUCAUCAGCACUGAUUGAGGUUAUUGUGUUGGACGUCAACGACAAUGACCCAAAGUUCAGCGAAAAAAGUGCCACCAUUACACUG